rnacentral:rRNA from 1 species
GUAAUCACUUGUCCCCUAAAUAGGGACCAGUAUGAACGGCUAAAUGAGGGCCUAACUGUCUCCUGUGGCCAAUCAAUGAAACUGAUCUUCCAGUAAAAAAGCUGGAAUAAACCCAUAAGACGAGAAGACCCUGUGGAGCUUUAAAUUAAUAUACUAUUAAAACCCCCACACCCCAACAAGGCCCAACAAUAAAAUAAAUAGUAUAAGUUUUAAGUUGGGGCAACUGCGGAAUAAAAAGACCUUCCAUGCAAAAGGAUAUACUAUCCAUUAAAGGACUACACACCAAAAAUAUUAUACAAAGCGACCCAGUACUACUGACCACCGAACCAAGUUACCCCAGGGAUAACAGCGCCAUCCUCUUCUAGAGUUCCUAUCGCCAAGAGGGCUUACGACCUCGAUGUUGGAUCAGGGCCCCCAGACGGUGCAGCCGCUGUCAACGGUUCGUUUGUUCAACGAUUAAUGCCCUACGUGAUCU